rnacentral:lncRNA from 1 species
AUUUUUGGAUGUGGGCUCAGACAUUAGGAGCAGGCAGUAUCUUUUCUUUUUCUUUUUCUUUCUUUCUUUUUUUUUUUUUUUGACAGGAUGGGCUGGGGUUGGGGGAGGAGGAAGCAAGAAUUAAGCAGAGAAGGCAAGCUCCUUUCUGUUCAUCUAACUCAAAAUAUGGCCUUUAAGACUGUGAAAUAACAGAAAACCCCAAUGAAUCUAGUUUACUUCAGAGAGCUGUAAAGAUUUUACAGAGCAAUUUUCAUUAGUCUUUGCUUUUUCUCCAGACCCAAGUGACCACCUGGUAAUUACUUCAACAGCAGAGCGACUCAUACAGCCGGCAGUCCACUUUGUUCUUCUAUAGAUCCUGCCUGUGGUGUUGGAUCUAACAGCUUCUUCCCUGACCCAAGAUUAUGAAGGAUUUCUCCUGUGUUCUCUUCUAAAAAUUUUACAUUUAGGAGAGAAAUCUAGAAGUGGAAUUGCUGAGCUGUAGAGUAUGUGAAUCUCUACAACUUUCAACUUUACCAUGUAUUGUCAAAUUGCUCUCCAAAGUGAUGGUACCAAUUAAUGAUACUACCAAUAAG